GUGCCAGCAAAAUCUGGCGCCGGGAUUAGCCUCCUGAAAAACCACAGAGCGCAAAGGCGCUCAUCCGAAGCGCUUUUUUU
rnacentral:sRNA from 1 species